GUCUAUAGCUGUACUACCCUGAAUGCACCUGAACUUGUCUUAUCCUGGAAGCUAAGCAGGGUUGGGCUUGGUUAGUACUUGAACGAGAGAUGCCUGUGAAUACUGGGUGUUAUAGCUU
rnacentral:rRNA from 1 species